rnacentral:rRNA from 1 species
AGUGAACGCUGGCGGUAGGCCUAACACAUGCAAGUCGAACGGCAGCACCGUAAGAGCUUGCUCUUACGGGUGGCGAGUGGCGGACGGGUGAGGAAUACAUCGGAAUCUACUUUUUCGUGGGGGAUAACGUAGGGAAACUUACGCUAAUACCGCAUGCGACCUACGGGUGAAAGCAGGGGAUCUUCGGACCUUGCGCGAUUGAAUGAGCCGAUGUCGGAUUAGCUAGUUGGCGGGGUAAAGGCCCACCAAGGCGACGAUCCGUAGCUGGUCUGAGAGGAUGAUCAGACACACUGGAACUGAGAAACGGUCCAGACUCCUACGGGAGGCAGCAGUGGGGAAUAUUGGACAAGGGGCGAAAGCCUGAUCCAGCCAUACCGCGUGGGUGAAGAAGGACUUCGGGUUGUAAAGCCCUGUUGUUGGGAAAGAAAAGCAGCAGGUUAAUACCCCGCUGUUCUGACGGUACCCAAAGAAUAAGCACCGGCUAACUUCGUG